UACGUAGGGUGCAAGCGUUGUCCGGAAUUAUUGGGCGUAAAGAGCUCGUAGGCGGCUUGUCGCGUCGACUGUGAAAUCCCGCGGCUCAACUGCGGGUCUGCAGUCGAUACGGGCAGGCUAGAGUUCGGUAGGGGAGACUGGAAUUCCUGGUGUAGCGGUGAAAUGCGCAGAUAUCAGGAGGAACACCGGUGGCCGAAGGCGGGUCUCUGGCCGAUACUG
rnacentral:rRNA from 1 species